rnacentral:ncRNA from 8 species
ACCUUCCUUGUCUGGGGGUGGUUUGGGCUGUUCAAUGAAGGUUAACUGAGAACAUCCCUGCUAACACCUAACCAACACAAUCCGCAUCACCUGAACUAUUUUGGUUCGGGCUAUGGUGCAAUUUUUGGA